rnacentral:rRNA from 1 species
GUCCACGCCCUAAACGAUGAUGACUAGUUGUUGGAGGAGUUAAAUCCUUUAGUAACGCAGCUAACGCGAGAAGUCAUCCGCCUGGGGAGUACGGUCGCAAGAUUAAAACUCAAAGGAAUUGACGGGGGCCCGCACAAGCGGUGGAUGAUGUGGUUCAAUUCGACGCAACGCGAAAAACCUUACCUACCCUUGACAUGUACGGAACCCUGCAGAGAUGCAGGGGUGCCCGAAAGGGAGCCGUAACACAGGUGCUGCAUGGCUGUCGU